AUUGAACGCUGGCGGCAUGCCUUACACAUGCAAGUCGAACGGUAACAGGAAGAAGCUUGCUUCUUUGCUGCCGAGUGGCGGACGGGUGAGCAAUGUCUGGCAAACUGCCUGAUGGAGGUGGAUAACUACUGGACACGGUCCCUAAUCCCGCAUAACGUCGCAAGACCAAAGAGGGGGACCUUCGGGCCUCUUGCCAUCCGAUGUGCCCAGAUGGGAUUAGCUAGUAGGUGGGGUAACGGCUCACCUAGGCGACGAUCCCUAGCUGGUCUGAGAGGAUGACCAGCCACACUGGAACUGAGACACGGUCCAGACUCCUACGGGAGGCAGCAGUGGGGAAUAUUGCACAAUGGGCGCAAGCCUGAUGCAGCCAUGCCGCGUGUAUGAAGAAGGCCUUCGGGUUGUAAAGUACUUUCAGCGGGGACGAAGGGAGUAAAGUUAAUACCUGGGCUUAUUGACGUUACCCGAAGAAGAAGCACCGGCUAACUCCGUG
rnacentral:rRNA from 1 species